UCUUUCUCUGCCUCUCUCUCCCUCUCUUUUUUUCUCUUUGCCAAUCAAAGCUUCUUCCAUAUGGAUCUGCAGAGUUCUGAUGAGUGUUCUUGAUAUUUGCUUGUCCCUGUCAAACAGAGAUGAGAAGAAUAAGAAAUUAGGGUUUCAAUGAUUGAUGGAUUUCAAAGAAAUAGGGUUUCAAUGAAGUAGUGAAAACGAAGGGGAAAAUUAGAUGAAGUCUUUGAGUAUAGAGAAAAGAAAGCGAGAAAAGGAUGAUUUAGAUCUUAAUCUUUCUAGUUAGUCUGGAAUGUGUUUUAUGUAAACCCUAAUUUCAAGGAUGAGUUGUUGCUGCUGAGUGGUUGAAAUGAGUCGAUAUAAUACAGAACAAACAAAUUUCAGUAAUCUAAGAAAACCGACUAAAUUCCCCCAAUUUUUUAGGGUUUAAGGUUCGGCAGUAUGGGGAAGGGGAAGAUAUCACCUAAAUUUGCAGUCAUGAAGAGAUUAAUAAGCUCUAAAAUGAUCAAAAAUUUUUUGAAUUUAGGACAAAAGAGGAUAUUCUAAACCCUAGAAAGAAAGAUCUUCAGAAGGAAAACUUACCCAGAAACGUGCCUCAAGUAUCAUCAGCUCUGUUCUUUAAACAUAGUAGUGCGUUGGGGCCUCCUGAUAGGGUUUUGGUUGAUACCAAUUUUGUCAAUUUCUCUAUUCAGAACAAGUUGGAUUUGGAAAAGGCAAUGACAGAUUGCUUGUAUGCAAAAUGUGAGUCUUCUUCUUUUGCUCGAUAUACUUGAAUGGUACUCUGUGAUAUUUAUUGUGUCUGACUGGUUUGAUAUGCUUAUUUGUUUUACAUCGACUCAUUUGUGAUGGGAUGAAUUGGUGAUGGUUAUCGACAAAAAUUGCAAGGAUGAAUUGUUGCUGCAAAGUGGUUGAAAUGGAUUUUGGUGAUGUUCUGUUGAUGGGUUUGCUUGUAGAGGCGUGUAUUCUUGCGAUUAGUCAAUAAUUACUUCAGACUUGGAGACUGAACCAUGGCUUAUCUUGUGAGGAUGACGAAGAGCGAGCAAUUCGUAGAGUGUACAUAGGUUGCUUUCAUUCUCAAACAUGUAGUGGCUGCACACCUGUGUUCGCUUCGGGUGUGAUUUGUGGCGGUUUUCAGACUGCAAUUUUCGGACUUGCACUGAUUUCACAACGAAUGCUAAACCUUAAAUCUUCAGAGUAAACUGUUUCCAGGACAAGAAAGCUACAGAAAGAGGAGGCGAGAGAUACGAGCAGCUUGAGUUCCCGAAGAAAGUUUCUCAACACUACAGAAAGAGUUGGUUAUGGAGUUGUGCUCAGACCUUGUUGACCGGAUAUUGGGCGACAACCUCCAACUCAGGAAUUGAUUGCUAAGGAUUUUCAUGGAACUGAGUGGCGAUUCCGUCAUAUAUAUCGGGUUACAGAAGAAGCUUUAUAUACAGAGCUGCGGCACGCUUGUUCUGGUCCUCUUGUGGCUCUACCACGUGAAGGCCAGAUUCUUUGUGCAGGAACUGCAAGCGGCCUGGUUAUUAUCCUUAUGAAUAAGUCAGUGAUUACGGAGAACUUGAUGAAGAAUGCUUGGUAACUAUCUGCAAGUUUUGAGAAGUAUCUUCAAGUUUUGAGUAAGUUGUAUGUAGUUUUUGAGCUGAACUUAUACUGACCUAAGUGAGAAGGAACUGAACUUAAGAAGUUUCUAUGUAUUCCCUCGGAAUUUGAUAACAAAAAAAAAUACGGAGAAGAAUUGAUGUUCUUUUUUUAUAUGAAUUGAUUGAUUGAAUUU